AAUAGAUACCCCGGUAGUCCACGCCGUAAACGAUGAGUGCUAAGUGUUAGAGGGUUUCCGCCCUUUAGUGCUGCAGCUAACGCAUUAAGCACUCCGCCUGGGGAGUACGGCCGCAAGGCUGAAACUCAAAGGAAUUGACGGGGGCCCGCACAAGCGGUGGAGCAUGUGGUUUAAUUCGAAGCAACGCGAAGAACCUUACCAGGUCUUGACAUCCUCUGACCUCCCUGGAGACAGGGCCUUCCCCCUUCGGGGGACAGAGUGACAGGUGGUGCAUGGUUGUCGUCAGCUCGUGUCGUGAGAUGUUGGGUUAAGUCCCGCAACGAGCGCAACCCUUGACCUUAGUUGCCAGCAUUCAGUUGGGCACUCUAAGGUGACUGCCGGUGACAAACCGGAGGAAGGUGGGGAUGACGUCAAAUCAUCAUGCCCCUUAUGACCUGGGCUACACACGUGCUACAAUGGAUGGUACAAAGGGCUGCGAGACCGCGAGGUUAAGCCAAUCCCAGAAAACCCAUUCCCAGUUCGGAUUGCAGGCUGCAACCCG
rnacentral:rRNA from 1 species